UCUCUCUCUCUCUCUCUCUCUCUCCCGAGCCCAAGCAAUCAUAUCCUCCAGCAUCUUACAGAUGUUUCGGCUCACAAACUGGAGAAUAUCACUGAAACAUCCCAAAAACAUGACCCAAAUUUUUUUUUGUUUUUACAUAUAAUAAAAGUCAUAACACUAAAUGUCAUAUAAUAAAAACCAUACAUCGGGUAUCCCAAAAGACAUAAUAAAAAUGUCAUAUCAAAACUGUAUCAAAUCAUGUCUAAGAAUCUGAACAAAACUCCCAGGAAUAAAGAUGAAGUUGUGGUGUGUUCGAUGCCAUCAUCCCGAGCUCUUCCCUUUACUUGCGGAAGUAUCUGAAACAAAAACUAAAACUGUAAGCACAAAGCUUAGUGAGCUCCCCCAAACUACCUCAUACCAAACAAAACAUAUAAACAACUACUGGGCCCCCGCCUACUACAUCAGACCGAAGCCCGGAAACUGCAUCGGACCAAAGACCGGAACUAACUAGGGCCCUGCCCUCUGCAUCGGUCCUAAGUCCGGAACUAACUGCCUCGGACCGAAGUCCGGAACUAGCUGCAUCGGGCCGAAGUCUGGAACUAACUGCAUCAGGCCUAAGCCAGGAACUGACUGCAUCGGACCGAAGUCCAGAACUACUGAACAUAACAUAGCAUACACAUAUCAACUAGCAUAACAACAUAGAUUGCAUACUGAGUUGGGCCAUACCCGAAACACAUAACACACAAAACCUGUCUGAGCCACGAAGGCAUCAAACAUUCUAACUACUGCAUCGGACCGAAGUCCGGAAACUACUGCUAAUUAAACGGGUCGGCAUUGUGGCCUUAGACCCGUUCCUACUGGAAGGAAACUCACCUCGUAGCCUAGCUGCUGAAAGAACGGUUCCAGAAUCUGUCUGCUGCGGCUCCGGCUUCACCCCGGCUACAAUUUCCAUAAGUACCCUCAAUCAAAUACUGAUAAUAAUACAGAGGGUAAAAAGACUGUCUUACCCUUGGUCAAAGUCAACCUAUCAGUCAAAGUCAACAUUCAGUUGACCUGACUCGUUGAGUUGGGUCACCAAUUCGUCGAGUCCUUACUCUCACUUUCUUGCUUCUGCCAGCUACUACUCAUCGAGUUUGGCAUAGACUCGACGAGUUCCUCUUCGAAAUUAACACUCAGUCAAUCUGCAUCCGAAUCGCCGAGUUGUAUGAAUCGUCGAGUUCUCCUUCAACAUAUGAACACUCUGACUGUGACUCGCCGAGUUUUAUGAACAACUCGUCGACUCUGUUCUUGAGACAUGAAGAUUGCCUUGGACUCGCCGAGUUCUUCCAUGAACGAGUCUAACCUCCAGCUCACUGAGUCAAUCUCUCACUCACUGGUUCCACUCGGCAUAACUCGAAAAGGGGAAAACACGGGACUCGUGACUCGACUCGUUGAGUCUGAAGAACGACUCGUCGAGUCGUAUACAUGCAAUCACUAUAUACUCGAUUCUGCUUGAAACCAGUUCAUUCCAUUCAUAGAUCUGGGUUCUUAGGGCUUGAUUAAGACAUAAAGUUUCCAACUUUACGUGUAAAUAACAUCAAAUGAAGGUUUUAAGGCUCAAAGCACACUAUAAGAGUAGAUCUAGAGCUUUCAUGCAAACUGGCUCCAUAAAGGUACUAGAUCUAAGCUUCUGGAACUCAAACCUAGCUAGAUCCGAAGGCUAUUCAUCUCAAUGAGUCCUCUAUGCUACUACCAAGAUGAGAAAUGGUUCAAAAAUAGCUUAAUGGCGUUCCAAAGGGGAUUAAAGCAUAGAAACAGAAAAGGGUCGAGUUAUACCUCACUAUACUUUGAAAUGCCACAAAGAUCUUGGAUCUCCUUCUUCUCCUCUUGAUUUACCUUCCUUCUUCUCUCAAGAUAUUCAAAGAAUCACACCAAAACACACAAAACGCUAAGAGAGUUCUAGGGUUUCGAGAAGGAUGCUCUAGGGUGAUGGGGGCUGACUUAGGGUCCCAAAAAGUUGUUUAAAUAGGGUGCAAACCCUUCAAAUUAGGGUUUCAUCCAGACUGGCGAACUCGCCGAGUAGCCAACUUAAACGUGCUUAAAAUCCCGACUCUACUCGACGAGUCUGGCUACUGACUCGUCGAGUUCCUAUUGAAAACUUGAAAAAUAAAUAUUUAAAUAACAUACCAGAAUUUAGGGUGUUACAAUUCUCCCCCACUUGACUCAGAGUUCGUCCUCGAAGUUUGCUGCCGUUGAAUCUGGAAACAACUCUAAGUAAUGCUCCCGCAUCUCCUCCUCGGACUCCCACGUCCACUUUGAACCCUUCCGGUGCUGCCACUGCACCUUCACUAACUGAAUUACCUUGUUCCUCAAGGUUUUUACCUUCCGAUCUAAGAUCUCAACUGGUCUCUCGACAUAAUUCAGGUUGCUAUCAACCUGAAUAUCCUCCAUGGGUAUUACUGCUGAGUCGUCCACCAAACACUUCCUCAACUGAGAAACUUGGAAAGUGUUGUGGAUCUGGCUAAGCUCUGCCGGAAGAUCUAAUCGGUAGGCGACCCGACCAACCCGGGCCAAGACCCUAAAAGGACCAAUGAACCUGGGGGCCAGCUUGCCCCUCUUUCGGAAUUUGAUGACACCCUUCCAGGGUGAUACCUUCAGUAGGACCAUGUCACCCACCUGAAACUCCAAGUCUGAAUGCCUCCUAUCGGUGUAACUCUUCUGCCAACUCUGCGCAGUCUGCAGUCUACUACGAACCUGCUGGAUCAACUCCAUCUUCUUGAGCACCACUUCGGUGCUCCUAAUGACACGCUGAAUGACCUCGCCCCAGAAGAUCGGGGUCCUGCACUUCCUCCCGUAUAACAUCUCGAAAGGAGGGCGGUCAAUACUCGCAUGGUAGCUAUUGUUAUACGAAAAUUCCACUAACGGAAGAUACGUAUCCCAACUAUCACCGAAAUCUAGAACAAUCCUCGACUGUCAUAGUCGAAGGAAGCUACUCGCCCCACGAUCGUCUCAUACUUCUGCCUCUCCUCCUUGAGGCCCUCGACCCGUGCCUCUAUAAUCUGCUCCAAUAAUGGAGUAAUCACUGUCAUUUUCAGACAUCCAUCCCUGAUCGGGGCUGCUGCUGCCUUGCGGCUUAGGGCGUCGGCCACCACAUUAGGCUUCCCUGGGUGAUAAAGGAUCUCACAAUCGUAAUCCUUCAAUACAUCUAACCAUCGCCUCUGCCUCAUGUUCAGAUUCGGUUGAUCCAUGAGGUACCUCAAACUCUUGUGAUCCGUGUAAAUGGUACAACGGACCCCAUAAAAGUAAUGUCUCCAAAUCUUGAGGGCAAACACCACUCCCCUUAACUCUAAAUCACACGGCCUCGCUGCAUCAACACUGCUCCCAUACCUGUGAUCAAAGCAUCACAGUAGACCACAAAAUCCUCUACUCCCUCUGGCAGGGGAAGAAUCGGUGCCUUGCACAAUCUCUGUCUAAGGGUCUCGAAUGCUGCCUGCUGCUCAGGCCCCCAGCGAAACACCACUGACUUCCUAGUCAGUCGGGUGAGCGGUAUAACUAUCUUGGAGAAAUCCUGGAUGAAUCUCCGGUAGUACCCUGCCAAACCUAGGAAGCUCCGAAUCUCAGAUGGAGACUUCGGGACCUCCCACUGCAUAACGGCCUCUAUCUUGGCCAGAUCUACCAGAAUACCCUUCUGGUUGACAAGGUGACCAAGGAAUUGCACCUCGCGCAACCAGAACUCGCAUUUGGAGAGCUUCGCAAAAAGUCUCUCCCUCCUCAAGGUCUCUAGCACGUCCCUCAGGUGCUCCUCGUGCUGCUCCUGGGUUUUGGAAUAAACCAAGAUAUCAUCAAUGAACACUAUCACAGACCAAUCCAGCAUCGGUCUGCACACGCGAUUCAUGAGAUCCAUGAAUGCGGCUGGAGCAUUGGUGAGCCCAAACGGCAUCACCACAAACUCAUAAUGACCAUAACGGCUCCUGAAAGCAGUCUUCUGCACAUCCUCAUACCUGACUCGCAUCUGAUGAUACCCGGAGCGUAAAUCGAUCUUGGAAAACCAAGACGCUCCCUGAAGCUGAUCAAACAAAUCAUCUAUCCUCGUAAGUGGGUAACGGUUCUUCACCGUUACCUUGUUCAACUCCCGUUAAUCUAUACACAUACGAUGUGACCUGUCCUUCUUCUUCACAAACAAAAUCGGUGCUCCCCAGGGCGAACUGCUCGACCUGAUAAAACCCUUGUCUAGCAGCUCCUGCAGCUGCGUAGACAACUCCUGCAUCUCUGGGGGAGCCAACCAAUACGGUGCCUUGGCUAUCAGAGCUGCACGAGGGAUCAGGUCAAUCCUGAACUCGACAUGCCUCUCGGGUGGUAUUCUAGGAAAAUCCUCUGGAAAUACAUCCGGGUAGUCUCACACAACCGGAACAUCAUCAACCGAUAACUUGCCCUUCUCCCGGGCAUCUACAACAUAGGCAAUAUAACCGGCGCAACCCUGCUGGAAGUAGCGCCUCGCUCUCGCUGCUGAACACAGAACUGGUCCGCGCUGUGGCUUCUCGCCAUGAAUCAUUAACUCUCCCCCACUGGGAGUGCGAACACUCACCAACUGCAGCUCACAAUCUAUCACCGUCCCAUUGGGGCUCAGCCAAUCCAUGCCUACUAUAACCUUAUUCCCUCACAAGGGAAUAGGGACCAAGUCCACCGGAAACUGCUCAUCGAAUAACUGCAGGGAACAUCCUCUGUGGACCCUUGCAACCCUAAUGGUCCUAUCAGCUGCUAUCUCAACCUCAAGUGGAUAAUCUAGCUUUUCUGGAGCUCUGCUAAACCUCUUGCUAAGUGUAAGAGAGACGAAUGAUCAGGUAGCCCCCGAAUCAAACAGUACUGUAGCCGAAAUGCCGUUCACUGAGAACGACCUUAUACAAAACAUAUAACCAUAAGAAACAAUCAAUGAUAAAUGCAUAGAUAAGGGAGAAAUACAUACCCGUCACCAUAUCAGGAGUCGCUCACGCCUCCUCUGCCGUCAGCUGAAAAGCCCUACUCUUCGCCACCGGCGUCUCAACUCGGCCCUGAAGGCCAUCCGGAAUCCUUAAGGUAGCAGGAGCAGGUGCUGACACCUUCCCUGCAGCGGCUAAACUCGGACACUGGGACUUUUUAUGUCCCCUCUGAUUGCACUGAAAGCAAAUCAGAUCUGAUGCCGCAACGGCGGUAGUAGUGGCUGUACAAUCUCUGCUCAUAUGCCCAGUUCGGCCGCACUUGUAGCAGCCGGCACUCCCUGCCUUGCACGCCCCAUCGUGCAAUCUCCCACACUUGCCACACCGACCGUGGCUCUGCUGACUCCUAGCUCUGUGAUCUGAACCCUUGGGCUUUUUGCCCGAACUCCCUGAACCUGGAGCCGCCUCCGACUUCCUUUUUCUCUCCAUCUCAAGGUCAAUCUCUCUCUCUCUCUCUCUCUCUCUCUCUCUCUCUCUCUCUCUCUCGCCCUAGCAAUCAUGUCAUCCAGCGUUUUACAGCUGGUCCGGCUCACAAACUGGCGGAUAUAACUCCGCAACAUCUCAUGAUACCAAGCCUUCUUCAUUUCCUAAUCAGCGCGUACUGAGGAAUGAGAAGUGCUCUCUCCCUGAACUUGGCGGUGAUCUCCGCCACUGUCUCUAUCGUCUGGGUGAGGUCCUGAAACUCUCUGGCCAACUGCUGCACCUCAAUAACCGGUGCAAACUCAGCCCUAAACCUGGCAGUAAAUUCAGCCCAGGUCAUAGCAUCUAAAGUUGCGUCAUCUCCAAUGGCAUGACCGACCUCCUCCCACCAAUCCCGUGCCAUGUCCUUCAGAAGACAGGACGCCAACUGACCUUGUCCCCCUCGGGACAUCUGCUUGUGCGGAAAGCAUUGGCCACGUCCGCCAACCAUCUAGUACUUGCUAUGGGGUCCCACGCCCCGUGGUAAUCUGGAGCUCCACAUGCACGGAACUCCCUGAAGGUAAGCAUGCACGACCCCAUCAUGGCCACUACCUCAGCACGGAAAGUGCUCAAUCUCUCGUCCAUCAACUCUAAGAUACCCUCCUUGAUUGAACCAAAGAUCAAAGGAGUCUGCUCAAGUAUGGUGCGAGUAAUCUCUGAAGAGAGAAACUCCCUAGUCUGCUCAUCCAACUGCCCGACCUCCGGGCCUGAUCCUGAUCCCCCUCCGCCCUCUGAACUGCCGACUGCUGGCCUAGGGCGUAGUACCACAAUUCUGAAAACACAUCAUAUUAAACUUCAGAAACAUAGAUAUAUCUCGAGGGAUCACUUCUACCACAAGUUUCCUAGUCUCAUCUCAGCUUUCCUUGAUUCGAGUACGGAUCCUCUGCUUUCAGUAGUACGGGCCCAUACUACCUUCCACAUCUAUCCGUACUUUCCUUAAGUAUCGCCUUGACUCCACCAAGUCACUACUACUACUACUAAUCUCUGCUACUCCCAUCCUAGGCUUGCCCUAGCGAAAUCUCUGACUCUACCCAAACCAGUCCUCAGCUGCUGAAAGGCCCCCUUGUAAUGCCAAUUAGCCAUCACCUGAAUACCAUCACAUGUGGUGAGGCUCAGAUAAUCCUUCGAGUAAAAGGCCCGUCCCCACAACAGUUAAGCUCAUACAAGAGCUGCACAAUAGGGCCAGAUCUAGCACUCUGAGAUUAUUCAACCCUGUUCACAUGUGAUGUGACGUAUUCACCUAAUGGCUAACUCACAUCACUCAGAGCCCCACGAAGCACAUAGCAAGCAGCAUUCAGACACAGGAAACUACUCAAGAAAUUAUAUCCUCAUUACAAGGAACUGUACUAGCAUACAGUGCUAAGCUCAUGCUAUCAGGCAUAUCCUAAACAGGCUAUCUUACUGCUGUCUACUCAACACUAGCAUGCAAUUCUCAUAAAGAUGAAAUACAUAAAGCAGGCACAUAAGGCAUCCUCCUAUACUAGCAUGUUGUUUUACUGAAACUAAAACAAAUAAUCAUAAUAUAAAUUUGUAUGGGUAAUUUGGGAGUACUUACUUGAGCUCGGCUGAUCGCAUGCACCACACCCUUUUCCUCUUCUGAAAACUUUUUGUCUUUUUAGGUUUUUCUUUUUCAAAAUCUUUUUGAAAAUACUUUUGAAAAUCUUUCUACCAUUUCCUCAGUUUGAGUCCAGUCACACCCGAGAGUGUGACUGAAUCCCUCAAACCAAGGCUCUGAUACCAACUUGAAACAUCCCAAAAACAUGACCGAAUUUUUUUUUUUUUACAUAUAAUAAAAGUCAUAACACUAAAUGUCAUUUAAUAAAAACCAUAUGUCGGGUAUCCCAAAAGACAUAAUAAAAAUGUCAUAUCAAAAACUAUAUCAAAUCAUGUCUAAGUAUCUGAACAAAACUCCAGGGAAUAAAGCUGAAGCUGUGGUGCGUCGAUGCCAUCAUCCCGAGCUCUCUUCCCUUUACUUGCGGAAGUACCUAAAACCAAAACUGAAACUGUAAGCACAAAGCUUAGUGAGCUCCCCCAAACUACCUCAUACCAAACAAA
rnacentral:lncRNA from 1 species